GAAUGGAGUUUCAAAAAAAGUCUAUCUUGAAUUCAAAAAUUGAAUUUAUUUUUAUUUGUGAAGAAACAAUAAUUAAAAUUAAGGACAAGAAGACCCUAAGAAUUUUUAAUUUUGUAUAUAUAUAUAUUUAUAUAUACAAAAUUUUAAUUGGGGCGAUUAAAAAAUAUAGUUAACUUUUAAUUUUAAAAAAUGAUCCAUUAUUAGUGAUUUAAUGUAAAAAAUACUCUAGGGAUAACAGCGUAAUAAUUUUAGAUAGAUCUUAUAGAAAAAAUAGUUUGCGACCUCGAUGUUGGAUUAGGAUUCUUUUUUAAUGAAGAAGUUAAAAUAAG
rnacentral:rRNA from 1 species